UCUUGUUGGUUGUGCAGGAAGCUGUUAAAUGUUCAUUAGCAUUCAAAGUUUAUUGAUCUUUGAGAGUGUGGUCUUGUAUUAUGAUGCUGUAUUAGUUGAAAAGAGUCUCAAAACAACACUACUAUCGUUUAUCACAAAAACAAUUUAUCGUCAAGCAAAAUUUGUUAUUGUGACAGGUCUAUUUUCAACAGAGAUUGCAAAAAUAUUUUUGUCUUUUUCUGUCAAUUUAACAGUAUAUAGAAGUUAGUAAAACACUGAAAACAAAUCUAGAAGACAGUCGAUGCCAUUACACCAUGUCUUUGUCAUCCUGCUGCCUCUCUCUCUCUCUCUCUCUCUCACUCUCCAGUGAUGCAUCGUUGUCGCUGUCGGGUCAUGGAGGGGGGCGGGGCCGGGGCCUGGGGUCACCCUGGUCUGUCACCCGGUCUGUGGCCUCAGAGAAACUCAGUGUGUCCAAGACGAAGAAGAAGCCUCCCCUCCGGUGGUUUGGGUCGUGGUGGCUUGUCUGUCACUUAGCCUGGCUGACUCGCCCCUCUCUAUCUCCAUCUCUGUGCGACUGUCAGGAUGGCAGAUGACAGCGGGGGGCCAUCAGGGGACCACAAGCUCUCAGUGAACCUCCAUUCGCUGAUCUCCAUGGAGAAUAGCCCCCACCAGCUGUAUUUCAAGGCCGUCAAACUGCUGCUGUCACGACAAAGACCACGGCAACCAGGCGAGGCCUCUCCCAUAAAACAUCAAAAGCAUGCGCUGCAAUGAAAACAAGCGAGGGAAGCGCGGAGGGAGGGGGGGCUUGUCAAUCUGCACGGCCCCUCUUCUAAGUGACUGUAGCCCACCGCCACUACACUCAGCUUCCAUGCCAUUCAUUUUUCAUGCUGCGCUGUCGGUGAUCCAAACUGUGCCAUCCAUUCUGCAGCUGACAUGUCCAAAUGUCUGAGUUACCGCAUAGCGCUGCACAUAACAGAGCUGUCUGCGAAAAGUUUUAUGAUAUGGAAAUAUGGUGAGAGCCUCUGUGAUGAAUGGACAUAAUGGGGCCAGAAGUAACGCCGAGCUACUGUGGGCAUCUGGGGCAUUUUUAUCUUGAGACUAAUACCUGAGUGACAUGAGCUCAUUCUUCCUGACACGCAAAGGUUGCCUUAAAGAAGCAUUUAUGGUGCUUGGGUCUUUUCAGAUUUUGCGGUAAUAAAAUAGUGUGUUUUCACUCCUGAUAGUCUGGUAGUGUUGGUUCGAUUUGAGACCAAAGUUGCAACAUUUAUUACAUUUUCAGCUUCUGUAGUUCGCUUCCACACUGCACUCCCUCAAAUGACCCAAACACUUUGAAAAACCUGUUCCCCUCCUCACCUGUGGGGGCGCUGCACCAAGAACCACUGAAGAAAACGACACAGAAACCUCUGAAGAAGACACUGAGCACAACUUCCUUCUUCAGGAAAGAGAAGGUGGGAGGAAAUAAAGAUGGCACGGGUGAGAGAGGAGGGGAGAAGAUUGACAGGAUAGAGAGGUGAUGCCACCUGUACAGGGCAGGAAGAGAACGGAAAAAACUCAUUAGUCUGCCUCCAUCCCAAUUCGCUGCUCUGACCUUGAGACAUCCACGCCUCCCUCCAGGCUCAGCCCAGUCAGGACUCCCCGGAUCAACCCCCACCUUCAUCGCCAGCAUCUCCUAAUUCAGCUGCAGCCAUUUAUUGAAGGGUGGUCCUUUUCAGGAACACAUCAGCAGAAUAUUUUCACACUCUUCCUCCUCCUCCUCUUUCUCGUCUCUCUGCGGCAGACUGAGUUCACCCCCCACUCUGCGGGAAGAGCAAAGAGCUGUCCGCAGCGUUUUGUGUCAAGGCCUGGAGCGCGGUCCUCGAUGCGAAGAGGAGAGAACGGGAGAGGAAGAGAAACUCUGUGUGACACUGAGGCAUGGAGGAGGAGGAAGAGGAAGGCGAGGCCGCAUCAGGAGGUUGUCGAGCCACAUCCAAGUGUCAGGGUCCCGAAAUAGUGGCGAGCGACAAGCAGACUGAA